GAUCCUUAGGGAAAGUCAAAGUGAGUAAAUAGUCCUCUGAAAAAUAAACUUCUUGCUCUUUCAAGCCCCAGGAUACCAUUUUUUAUGAAUGGCCAUCUUCCAGACUGGGGUGCCACUUUGCUCCUAGAGAACAGUUGAUCCUUGGAUGAGACUUCAUACAAGGAAAAAAUGGAGUUGAUGCAAACAGCUGGAUACCUUAACUUGAAAAACCAAGAAAGGCAGAAUGAGGAGCAAUAGAGAGGCCAAGUUCAUCUUAGUGUCAAGACAAACUUCUUAACAAUUAGGAGGAUCCUCAAAUGAAAUGGAUAAUUGCCCCAGGAGGUGUAUAAAGUUCUCCUUCAUUGAAGACCCUCAAGCAGAGGCUGAAUGACCACUUUCCAGAAAUUGUCCAUCUUGUUCUUUGCUGACUCCUUUGAAGAAUCCAUUUUCAAGAGCCCUCCCCCACAAAAAAGAAGAAACAAUUGGAAGCAGAAGGGAGUGACAACUUCCUGUGGAGAGUCUUCCUACUUUGGCUUCUUCUGGAGUUCUGAGUUCAAAUUGGAGGCUGGUGAAGAAUCUUCUGACUGGACCUGAAACCCUAUACAUGGUGAGAUUGUCCUUGAAUCUUUCCCCUUUGGACUGACACUUUGACUGAAGAAAAAUAUCAAUCUUACAUAAAAUUAGGAAUAAUUACAUGAUACAUGGUGAGUGAAAAAGAUUUACUCUUUUCCUGGAUUUUCUGAAGAGACUAGCCUCAGGAGAGAUCUAUCCUCUUGAGAGAGGCUUCCUGUAUCCCCAGGUCCUUGGCUACAAAGGCAGAGACAUCUCCAGUUAAGGACUAAACUCCCCUGCCUGUUUUUGAGCCAGGGGUUGGAACAAAAUACUUAGUUUUUAGGCUAGAUAUCUUACCCUUACUCUCUCUGAUUUUCUUACUUCACUCUUUCUAUAUUUUGUAAAUAAAUUGUAAAUAAAUCUCUUUGGAAUUAAUUAA
rnacentral:lncRNA from 1 species